rnacentral:tRNA from 1 species
GUGGUCGUUCCCGUCGCGGGAAGGGCCCGGGUCGUGACCCCGGGAAGGCUCGGUUCGACUCCGGCCGAUCACCCCA